UACGGGGGGGGCAAGCGUUGUUCGGAAUUACUGGGCGUAAAGGGCUCGUAGGUGGCCAACUAAGUCAGACGUGAAAUCCCUCGGCUUAACCGGGGAACUGCGUCUGGUACUGGAUGGCUAGAGAUUGGGAGAGGGAUGCGGAAUUCCAGGUGUAGCGGUGAAAUGCGUAGAUAUCUGGAGGAACACCGGUGGCGAAGGCGGCAUCCUGGACCGACACUGACGCUGAGGAGCGAAAGCCAGGGGAGCAAACGGG
rnacentral:rRNA from 1 species